GACGAACGCUGGCGGCGUGCUUAACACAUGCAAGUCGAACGGAAAGGCCCUGCUUUUGUGGGGUGCUCGAGUGGCGAACGGGUGAGUAACACGUGAGUAACCUGCCCUUGACUUUGGGAUAACUUCAGGAAACUGGGGCUAAUACCGGAUAGGAGCUCCUGCUGCAUGGUGUGGGUUGGAAAGUUUCGGCGGUUGGGGAUAGACUCGCGGCUUAUCAGCUUGUUGGUGGGGUAGUGGCUUACCAAGGGUUUGACGGGUAGCCGGCCUGAGAGGUUGACCGGCCACAUUGGGACUGAGAGACGGCCCAGAAUCCUACGGGAGGCAGCAGGGGGGAAUAUUGCACAAUGGGCGGAAGCCUGAUGCAGCAACGCCGCGUGCGGGAUGACGGCCUUCGGGUUGUAAACCGCUUUCGCCUGUGACGAAGCGUGAGUGACGGUAAUGGGUAAAGAAGCACCGGCUAACUACGUG
rnacentral:rRNA from 1 species